UACAGAGGGUGCAAGCGUUAAUCGGAAUUACUGGGCGUAAAGCGCGCGUAGGUGGUUUGUUAAGUUGGAUGUGAAAUCCCCGGGCUCAACCUGGGAACUGCAUUCAAAACUGACAAGCUAGAGUAUGGUAGAGGGUGGUGGAAUUUCCUGUGUAGCGGUGAAAUGCGUAGAGAUCUGGAGGAGUACCGAUGGCGAAGGCAGCCCCUGGCCUGAUACUGACACUGAGGUGCGAAAGCAUGGGGAGCAGACAGGAUUAGAUACCCCUGUAGU
rnacentral:rRNA from 1 species